rnacentral:ncRNA from 2 species
GAGGUUCUUUGUGACUGACGGAACUGCAGAGCACUGCACGGGAGCAAAGAAUAAUACAGGAAAGAGCUGCUCUUUCCGCCGACCGUCUGGGCACAGUUA